AUUCCAGCUCCAAUAGCGUAUAUUAAAGUUGUUGCAGUUAAAAAGCUCGUAGUUGGAUUUUGGGUCGGGGGUACCGGUCCGGUGUUUCACUGUGCACUGGUCUCCCCUUCCUUUCUGCCGGGGACGGCGUUUGCUCUUUACUGAGCGGCGUCGGAGUCGGCGUUGUUACUUUGAAAAAAUUAGAGUGUUCAAAGCAAGCCAUCGCUCUGAAUACAUUAGCAUGGAAUAACAUGAUAGGACUCUGGUCUUAUUUUGUUGGUUUCCGAGACUGGAGUAAUGAUUAAGGGGGACAGUCGGGGGCAUCCGUAUUUCAUUGUCAGAGGUGAAAUUCUUGGAUUUAUGAAAGACGAACCACUGCGAAAGCAUUUGCCAGGGAUGUUUUCAUUA
rnacentral:rRNA from 1 species